GCAGGGUCAGUCAGCAGCAGGGCUGUCCUCAGCACAGAGCUUGCUGGUCCUCGCAAUCACUCACGUCUCCAUUGCCGGUCCCGAGCCAGCCUGAGCAGCUGCCAGGCUGUCACACCGGGGCGGUGCAAAGCCAGGCAGAGAUUUCAGACCCGCGUUCCUCGAGCGAAUGAGGAAGUUUAACACGUCGUUCAAGAAGCGGCCAACCUCACCAACUAAAAGCAAGGUGUGCUCAGCCCGUCCCAAACACCUGGCGGCCGGGCCGUGAGGAUGCUCCUACACGAACGCGAUCCCCGACACCACAGAAGGGCAGCAGAAGGACUGUGCCUCAGAGGACGAGCAGGACAUGCACUUGGAGGAAAUAGCCCUUAGUCUGCAAAGAAAGAAGAGAGAACAUUGGGCUGAGGAGCUCCUCUUCUCACACCGAAAUUACUGGAGGUCACACCAGAUGCUUGCCCAGCAUCAGCUGGAUGGGAGAUGUCUGGAUACACAAUUUCAUCCUAAGAGUAAACUGUCAAGCUUGUACCAGAAGCUGAUGGAGGAUGCAGAAGUUGGCUUUCAGAUGACAAGGCUUUUCAGGUAACACAAUUGCCUGCCUUCCACACAAGACUGUAGGAGCUGAAGCAUGGACCAAAUGCCAGGCUAGCGAGAGACCCUCACUUCAAUGCUGAGCAUCAAGAAGAGUGGGCCAGUGCCCCAAAGAAGGACUCAGACCAUGGAUAGGAGGUGCUCCCUCACUGCACAUGGGGGAAAAACACCAGAAUCUCACAAGUUUUGCAGCUCUUCCUACCAGCUGUUAAGGACAGACAAGGGACCAGUACCACCUUCAAAAGGGUACAAGAUGCUCCUUCGGCAGUUAAAGAAAACCAGCAAAUGCAGAUCCAAACUACAGUUAUACUGUGGAUCUUACAUUUUCCAAAGUGACUGUCUCCUUCAGGCAACAUCAAGGACUCAUCUGACAAUACAAGCAGCACUCUUUGUCUGAAUUCUCAUCUUAAAGCACAUGACUUCCUUUUUUUAAUUAAGUUGCUAACUUAAUAACAGCCCUGUCUCUUAGAGUGCCAAUUUAAUGCCUGUAGAUAAAAUAUGAUGCAGUUAUUAAAGAGCAGGUAGCAGCACACCCCAUCAUCUCCCUGAGUGAAGUGUGGGCCAAUCCAUCACAACAUAAGACGUUGUGUUCCAGCUGGUGCAAGGGAGUAGCAGAUGGGGAGUGCAUUUCCAAACACAGAGCUAGUCUGCGGUGGUGCAAUUUAUCUGGGACAUACAAUUAGUUCAGGAAAAGCAGAGAGGUUUGAAUAAAUGAAAUGAAUUUCGUAUAAGUGGGCCUUGUCUGCAUGCAGAAAUCUUGUUGGUAUAACUCCAGCAAAAUUGUACAGAUCUGGGUGUGAAGCCCUAUCUAGAUACUUUCACUUGGUUUCAGGGUGACUGAAUUACCAACGUCAUCCACACUCAGACAGCCAAAGAACCUUUUGCAUAAGCUUAACCUUUGCAACAUAUUCCUGUACCUGAUACUGUCACAGCUUUAUUCUCUAGUAUGUUAACAUAAGAUUGCUGUUUCUUCUGAGCAAGUUCCACUUAGUUUUUCAGAUUCAUGCAUCCCCUGGGCCUCCCUGAAUCUGCUGAGCCCACAGAGAAAUGCAUUUUAGUUCAGUGAAUUCAUUGAGGUCCUCACUGCAUCAUGAAGACACAAACCUGAGGUGAGUCAGCAUUCAGAACACAACAAAACAUUUUUAACAGGUACCUUUAAAGAAAAGAGACAGAAGAGAUAUCUGAAAUGCCCCAAAAGUGAUAUCUGUUCAUCUGACACAAACCAGGAUCGAGUCUGUGAAAUCCCAACUCCACCAUCCAUGGAGGUGAAGGAAUCAAAACAAGAGCUGAGUCCUCAUGUGAAAAUAUUGCAGUUCACUCAUUUUACCUCAGUUUUCUUGGUAUAUUUUCCAGAUAUGUGUGUAUGUGUUUCUGAUUUUAUAUCUAUUACAUAACUUUCAUGAAUUACUUGAUUCCAUCAGGACUGCUGUAGCCCAGAUAGUUCUAUAGAUGUUGUAUCUCGAUGGGGUCCAAGAGUACAGUAAAUGAUAUGCAGCAGCAUGCAAGGACUCAGAGUGCCUGAGAUUAAAAAACAAAGAAAUUUCAGUUUAUCAUUUUGUCUUUUCCACAGGUAAAGCUGCCAUAGGCCUGCUACAGGCCGUAAUCCUCCUUGUCUGAAGCCAAAUAACAGAGAAUCAAAAUGCGUUUGCGAGCUUUGAAAUGAAACAGUAAGAAGUCUAGAGAAGAUAAUUCCAUUACAAUCUUUACAGUUGGGCACAUCCAGUAUAGUCAAUGAAGGAGAUAGACAGUAAUCUCAACCAUAAUUGCUUUUGAAAAGAUUUGUUUAUCUAUUCUUUCCUUAGUUGCAUAUCCAGGCAACAGAAUCACUCAAAAAAUCAGAAUUCUGCUGUAUUUCUUACCCUUCCCCCCAACAAUUUCUUCACGCAUACUUUAUGUUGUCUUACAGUUCUCAUCUCAUCUCAUCUCAUUUAGUGGGAGCUAUUGGUAAUAAGUGAACGGUUGGACUGGAUGAUCUUUUAGGUCUUUUCCAACCUUGGUGAUUCUAUGAUUCUAUCUGGCCGUUUCUUGGUGCCCUAAAGAGUUCUAGCUAAAUGACAGAUCUCCAGAAAAGUAAGAGCCUUGUUACUUUUUGCUUUACUUUCCCUCCCUCCUGAAAACCACUAUGGCCAAAACUGGAGCAGGGAAGCUGGGUAUCAGAAACACAUGCUUUGCAUUGGUGAGAGUGAAGAAGGGCUGUGUGAGCUGUGUGGCGCUGCACCCAGCCAGUCUCUGUGCUUGGUGGAGAGGCUUGAUUGCAAGGGCUGCAAAUUUAGAACAAGGGACAAGAGGGCACUGUCUCCUCCUGAGGCUGGUCUGUCAACCCUAGCAGAUGAAUAAAGAUCAGUGUCACAUAAAUAUUUCAGGUCUUAUUUGUUUGUUUUGGGUGUUGAGGCGAUCAGUGCUGUCAUUGGUUGACUAUUAAAGUUAUAUCUGAACAAGGAGAAGUUAUUAAACAGUCCCAAGAAAAGUUAACAGCAAUUGAAAUAUCUCCUUCAGAGAAUUUACUGAAGCAACACAGCAGAAGUUGAAUAAUUCCUCCCUUGGAUUGUCUCUAGCUGGCUUCAAGUGGCCAAGUUCACUUAACACUGACCAACAAGAAAUUGAUCUCAUCAGUUUUAUCUCUGCAGCCACCUGCAUGUACAGUUAUUUGUACUCAUUAGAGCAAACUCUGAAGAAGAGUAAGGCUAAUGACCCAGUGUAUCAGAGGAGCCGUCUGAAGCUCAUGCCACCAGAUCGCUGGAACUGAGUUUUCAGAUAUGCUCAUUACACCAGGCAGGAAGCCCAGGAUGCUGACAUGCUGUAGGGAAAGUCCACUCAGGUUGUGGUACAGAGCAUUUAGGUCUCUCGUGACUCAGAGAUUGUGGAAGCACAUAAACCUUGCCACUGAUUCUCUUCUCUCCCCUUACCUACAGCUUCCUCCCAUUGCCAAGCCAAGCAGAUUUCAAAUGCUGGAAGCAUCCUGGUUCUGAAGCCUGCGUCCUGAAGGUAGCGAAGAAAGACAGUCUACUUUCUGCAGGGUUCAACCUUACAGACAUGUUCUCAAACAGAGCAAAAAACUGGUGGGUAUUGCUUCUGUUGGGGAAAAAAAUAGCAGCGCUGUUUAUAACAAUGGCUUUAUUUUUCUCCAUUGGAGAGAUUUGAAAUACAGAAUAGUCAGCAUUCCACAAUUUCUGCCCACGAGCAAAUAUGAGAUGGCUCCAAGAUGCUUUGCUUCCUUGUAAUGCAGAAAAUUUCUAAUGAGAAGCCAAUUUGCUGAAAACUGGAGAUGCUGCAGCACACACAGCCCUUGGAGAGGAACCUUGUAAAGCCAAGUGGAAGUGGAAGUAAAUCAGGCUGCACUGGAAACUGAUGGGAACCCAUAGCAAUGAACAGAGUGUCUGUUUCAAAUAAAUAGUCAAAACUUAAAAAUACUAAGUUUUUCCAGGAGAUCAUCCCAUAACCAAUACUAGAAGGUGUUUUUCAGCCUCUGAUUAAGCUAUGUGUCUUUGCAGGCAUUUGGAUACACUACAGUCAUUUUAAGAAUUCUUCUCAUUAUAAAGCAUGUGCAGAAAUAUUUGCUGAUACAUGCUUUUGCAGCUUUUUUGAUGCAUCAGUUUUCUACUGUAAGUAAAAACAUAGCCUGCAUUCAGUGAUCAGCUGUCAGAGAGGGAAGGGAAGGAACUGGACAAGUGCAUUUCAGCCGACUUCUACCACUAAGGACCUGAGAACAGUAAUCCAAACCAGAUGUAGGGAAAAAAUGAGAGACCCAUAAAUACAGUCAUUCUAAUGCCUGUUUGAUUUCCCGCAUUCAUAAGUGCUUUACUGAUGAAAAUUGCAGUGUGUUCAUGAAGCAAGGAUCUGUGCUCAUACUCAUUUCUGCCCCACUCCUUGCUACCUUUGAACAUGAAUGUCUGUCACUUUCGCUUCUCUGGGAUCUUUGCGGAGGGUUUGUCCUUUCCUUUCACACUGCUUCUUUUCCCAUUUUCUCCUUCUUAUUGAUCUUCUUUUAGUUUCUUCUCUGCAUUCGUGCACAUUGCUUAUGCUCAGCUGCUUGGUUGGGGGCGCCUUGCAGCAGUGUUUCAGCCCACACUUGGAGUGCCCCCCUAACAUCGUUCACCUGAUUAUCCAUCCCUCCUCUCACCAUCAUUUGCUUCACCUAAAGAACAGCAAGCUGAAUAGAAAGAUGCACUCCAGCUUGCUAGUGAGCAGUCUGUGUUUGGGGUACAACCAAAGUUUAUCCGAGGUGUAAAUGGCUGAAGCACACACAGUGUGGUCUUCACCGCAUUUUGCUCUGUGAAACCAACCCAGAGCACUUCACCAAGCACUGACAGGACACAGCAAACACCAGGUGUGCCCACACUCUAAGGCCACUCUGCGCCCUAUGAACACAUCCGCCAGCUCAUACCCUUGCUUUAUCAGUGUGCCGUUCUUUCCUGCUUCUUCCUCAAAAUAUCCUCUCUGCAGGGAGAGCAGCUCAUCCACAGUCUCCCCUGCUCGCAGCUGCCUGCUGAGGACAGGAGGUGUCUGUGAGCUGCCAGGAAGGGGAUGGCACGGGGACCCCAGCAUCCCUGGCCCUUUCACAGCCUGAAUAAUUGUUCCUUCAUGGCACAGCAGAGAAACACUGGUUUGUGUUUCAGCAAAGCACAGCUCUGCUGUUUUGGUCUGAAAGAAGAAAUGUUUUCAGUCUCUACACAGUCAGGCUCUUUGCAUUUCAGACAAACGGACUCGUGAAGAUUACUGAAUUCUUCUCUCAAACUGUUGCAAAGCCCACAGGAGGACCUCUCAGCCCCCACUGGUCUGUGUCUCUGUGGUAUCUCAUGCUUCUAAGACUCAGUCACCUUCUACAUCCUACCUCCUGCCUUUGCCAGGAGCAAAUGCUGGUGCAGGAAGCUCAGGGACCACCACCAUCUCCUGCAGGGACAGGGACUGACUGCCCCGGUGGCUGUCCAGAAUCAGCAAUGAGCUCUGCUUCAAAACUGUUGCUGUCAGGUUUCUAUGCUUUUAGCCCGUGGCUUCUGCAGCACACUGGUAGCUCUUGGCAGCCUGAGGCAAGCCUCAGCAUUGCUGCAGCACACAAAUAUUAUCUUCUGGAAAAGAGCCGUUCUUCUGGCCUCUGUCCCAAUGCACUUGUUUUGUAAUAUGUGUCAUGACUAAGCAUCAGAAAUUAGCAAAACAGUGGGAACAAAAACCAAAAGUUUUGAGCCAAAUGAAAAGCACUUCUGGUAUUCGGUUUGUGAAUUUGCACUCUCAAAUAAAAUCAGCAGUGGAGAGGGCAGAAUAAAACCAAAGUGUGGGAGCUUGUAAUGCAGACUCCACCAACACAGCCAUCCGUUCCGAGCUCUGCGUGGUUUUUUAAGUGCACACAUUCUAAAUUACAAAACCCAGGAACAAAAGCUAACAAAAAGAUGUAUUUUGACACUGAUGUUUAAAGUGAGUCAUGUAAAGUUAUCCAUAUUUUCUGCAUUAAGCACAUUGAUAAGCUGACUUUUCUUCGAGACUAACUCAAUAGAUGACGAUGCCAUCACAUCCAGAAGAUCGAACAAGCAUGUCUAUUCACAUAUGGCAGAGUGGGAGGUUUGUGCAAAGAUGGACAAAGAAAUAUGCAGAAAUAUGAACAGAUGCGAAUGAAAACAAGGUGAUUUGUUUGAUAACGGUCACUCAGAAACAUAACAGUGCUGAAUGGGCAUUUUUUCGCAUUAUCAGAAAGGUGAUAAGGAUAUGUUAUUAUAUUCUUGUCAUCUUAGUAGUAGCUUAAAUUCUAUUUGUAUGUUUCGUAUCUAUGUGAAACCUUUACCUGAAGUGCAUAUAGCUACAAUUACAACUCCAUAUUCCACUGUCCCAUGGGCAGUGACUAUCAUAAAUAUCAUUCAGGAACAUAUCUCCCCUUUUGUCAGCAAGAGAGAAGGCGAGGAUGAUGAAAAACUCUGAGAUCCAGCUCAACUUGCACAGAGCCACCAUGGUGCAAUACGGGCUGUAAAGCUCCUCACGCCCAGGGGCUUCAGUUGACGUCAGCCUUCAGGUCUGUGUGUCCAUCAGGGCUUGGGGAGAGGAAACAGAUUUGCACCUCCCUACUAAUAGAAGUGUUUUCCAGCUGUGAUUAUGUAUUUCACUGGACUUCAAACCUAUAAUCCACAGCUUUGUAGUGGCACUUGUAACAUAAUUGCAAGCUGGUACAUCUGAUUGCAAAGAUCACUGAUAAUUUUGCUGUUCUACUGAU